GCCUGAAGCCACUCAUUUUUCUGGAGAUCAUAUUUAUCCAAAAGACUGCCCCAUGACGAUUCAAAAUCCUCAAUUGUCUCAGAAAAAUUAAUGCAGCUAUACAGCUCUCCAUAAAAGGAUGGAUGAGAAAGGUAUAUGUGAACAACCUUUCUUGGCCUUCCCUCAAGAUGUGCCACUUGCAGAUACAAUGGCGAGUAUCUGGAAGCACCUGAGCAACUGCCAUUUGUAUGGCUCUAUCUUGGUCAGUGGUAAGAGAAACAGGAGGUCGGUCAUUCAUUGCAGAUAGCCAUGUCCUAAAUAGCCAAGUAAAGGAAGACUCAGACUC
rnacentral:misc_RNA from 1 species